AGUGAACGCUGGCGGUAGGCCUAACACAUGCAAGUCGAACGGCAGCACAGUAAGAGCUUGCUCUUACGGGUGGCGAGUGGCGGACGGGUGAGGAAUACAUCGGAAUCUACUUUUUCGUGGGGGAUAACGUAGGGAAACUUACGCUAAUACCGCAUACGACCUACGGGUGAGAGCAGGGGAUCUUCGGACCUUGCGCGAUUGAAUGAGCCGAUGUCGGAUUAGCUAGUUGGCGGGGUAAAGGCCCACCAAGGCGACGAUCCGUAGCUGGUCUGAGAGGAUGAUCAGCCACACUGGAACUGAGACACGGUCCAGACUCCUACGGGAGGCAGCAGUGGGGAAUAUUGGACAAUGGGCGCAAGCCUGAUCCAGCCAUACCGCGUGGGUGAAGAAGGCCUUCGGGUUGUAAAGCCCUUUUGUUGGGAAAGAAAAGCAGCAGGUUAAUACCCCGCUGCUCUGACGGUACCCAAAGAAUAAGCACCGGCUAACUUCGUG
rnacentral:rRNA from 1 species